rnacentral:rRNA from 1 species
UUACGGCUCAGUAACACGUAGUUAACCUACCCUGGAGGUGCAGAUAACCCCGGGAAACUGGGACUAAUCCGCAAUAGAUCAUCGUUUCUGGAAUGAACUUUGACCCAAAAGGAUAGGUAAGUAUGUUUAUCUAUUCGCUCCAGGAUGGGACUGCGGCCGAUCAGGUUGUUGGUGGGGUAUUGGCCCACCAAGCCUAUAACCGGUACGGGCUUUGAGAGAAGGAGCCCGGAGAUGGACACUGAGAAAAGGGUCCAGGUCCUACGGGGCGCAGCAGGCGCGAAACCUUCGCAAUGCGCGAAAGCGCGACGAGGUUACUCCGAGUGUUACCCGCUGAGGGUGACUUUUGCUAGGUAUAAAUAACCCAGAGAAUAAGGGGAGGGCAAGUCUGGUGUCAGCCGCCGCGGUAAUACCAGCUCCCCGAGUGGUCGGGACGUUUAUUGGGCCUAAAGCAUCCGUAGCCGGUCUUGUAGGUCUUUUGUUAAAUCCAACGGCUCAACCGUUGGGCUGCAGGAGAUACCGCAGGACUAGGAGGCGGGAGAGGUGGAUGGUACUCAAUGUGUAGGGGUAAAAUCCUUUGAUCCAUUGAAGACCACCAGUGGCGAAGGCGGUCCACCAGAACGCGCUCGACGGUGAGGGAUGAAAGCUGGGGGAGCGAACCGGAUUAGAUACCCGGGUAGUCCCAGCUGUAAACGAUGCGAGCUAGGUGAUGGGGUGGCUACGAGCCAUCCCGGUGCCCCAGGGAAGCCGUUAAGCUCGCCGCC